AUACUUACCUGGUAGGGGAGAUACCUUGAUCACAAAGGUGGUUUUCCUAGGGCGAGGCGUAUUCAUUGCACUCUGGAUGUGCUGACCCCUGCAGUUUCCCCAAAUGUGGGAAACUCGACUGCGUAAUUUGUGGUAGUAGGGAACUGUGUUUGCACUCUCCUCUU